rnacentral:rRNA from 1 species
AGUGAACGCUGGCGGCGUGCCUAAUACAUGCAAGUCGAACGGAGUGGCGCACGGGUGAGUAAUAUAUAGCUAAUCUGCCCCUUGCUGGAGGACAACAGUUAGAAAUGACUGCUAAUACCCCAUAGCAAUGGAUGAGACUAUAUCGUAUCAGCUAGUCGGUGGGGUAACGGCCUACCGAGGCUAUGACGCGUAACUGGUCUGAGAGGAUGAGCAGUGACAUUGGAACGAGGAAACGGUACAAACUCCUACGGGAGGCAGCAGAAGGGAAUAGGGCGCAAUGGGGGAAGCGAUGACGCAGCAACGACGCGUGGAGGAUGACACUUUGCGGGGCGUAAACUCCUUUUGUUAGGGAAGCGGUACCUAACGAAUAAGCACCGGCUAACUCCGUGCCAGCAGCCGCGGUAAUUC